GUUCACAUUAUAGCAAUCAAAUCAAUUCAAACAAAUCUUAAACUCUUGUGUGAUCUG
rnacentral:other from 1 species